rnacentral:rRNA from 1 species
UACGUAGGGUGCAAGCGUUAAUCGGAAUUACUGGGCGUAAAGAGUGCGUAGGCGGUUUUCUAAGUUUGGUGUGAAAUCUCCCGGCUUAACUGGGAGGGUGCGCCGAAGACUGGAAGGCUAGAGUAUGGGAGAGGUAAGCGGAAUUCCUGGUGUAGCGGUGAAAUGCGUAGAUAUCAGGAGGAACACCUGCGGUGUAGACGGCUUACUGGACCAUAACUGACGCUGAGGCACGAAAGCGUGGGUAGCAAACAGG